UACGUAGGGGGCAAGCGUUGUCCGGAUUUAUUGGGCGUAAAGAGCGUGUAGGCGGUUUGGUAGGUCCGCUGUGAAAACUCGAGGCUCAACUUCGAGACGCCGGUGGAAACCAUCAGACUAGAGUCCGGAAGAGGAGAGUGGAAUUCCUGGUGUAGCGGUGAAAUGCGCAGAUAUCAGGAGGAACACCGGUGGCGAAGGCGGGUCUCUGGGCCGAUAUUGACGCUGAGGAGCGAAAGCGUGGGGAGCGAACAGG
rnacentral:rRNA from 1 species